AAUCUUUUCUAUCGAAACGAUUUCCGCUUUAGGAAUUAUUUUCUACUGUUGGCCCUGUGGUUAAGGCCACCGUAAAUUAUGACUCGAAAGGCAGGUGCCUCGGUUCUGCCGAAAUUGUUUUUAAAAAUCCCGGGGACGCUCUGAAAGCUUAUAAUACUUUUCAGGCUCAUUGUCUUGACAAUCGACCGCUUGAACUAACCGUUCUUACAAAGUUGCCUCGAAUUAGUGCUAUUGCUCGACUCUCUGAGUGCGCCACAAAAAGGCUCACACCCGCUUUACCUCGUGCUUCCCUCGUUGGUGAUGUAGACGAAGCUGCAGGUGUUGUAAAAAGAAUUGGAGUAUUUCAAGGCCGUACUACAAUUCGGGGGGGGCGUCGUGGUAGGGGAAGAAGAGGGCGAGGCCGCUUUAAAAACUUACCUUUUUAAAGAGCGAGAUCCGAUUUAAAAUCUGUUGAAUGACUUCGACAAACAUGAGUUUUGCUUUAACAAUUAUUGUUAAGGAGCACUCAAUGAAUAAGAAAAUAUUUUCCCGGAAGAAUAAUUGUUUAAGUGGCUUUUGAAAGCAGUAAACCCUUAAUA